rnacentral:rRNA from 1 species
UACAGAGGGGGCAAGCGUUGUUCGGAAUUACUGGGCGUAAAGGGCGCGUAGGCGGCCUUCUAAGUCGAACGUGAAAUCCCUGGGCUCAACCCAGGAACUGCGUCCGAUACUGGGAGGCUUGAAUCCGGGAGAGGGAUGCGGAAUUCCAGGUGUAGCGGUGAAAUGCGUAGAUAUCUGGAGGAACACCGGUGGCGAAGGCGGCAUCCUGGACCGGCAUUGACGCUGAGGCGCGAAAGCUAGGGGAGCAAACGGG